rnacentral:rRNA from 1 species
UACGGAGGGCGCAAGCGUUGUUCGGAAUCACUGGGCGUAAAGCGCGUGUAGGCGGCUUGGCAAGUCGGGUGUGAAAGCCCGGGGCCUAACCCCGGAACUGCACUCGAAACUGCCUCGCUCGAGUCUCGGAGAGGGUGGUGGAAUUCCCGGUGUAGUGGUGAAAUACGUAGAUAUCGGGAGGAACACCAGCGGCGAAGGCGGCCACCUGGACGAUGACUGACGCUGAGACGCGAAAGCGUGGGGAGCAAAC